UAGCCGUAAACGAUACUCGCUAGGUGUCGGCCACGGUGCGACCGUUGUCGGUGCCGUAGGGAAGCCGUGAAGCGAGCCACCUGGGAAGUACGGCCGCAAGGCUGAAACUUAAAGGAAUUGGCGGGGGAGCACAACAACGGGUGGAGCUUGCGGUUUAAUUGGAUUCAACGCCGGAAAUCUUACCGGGACCGACAGCAACAUGAAGGCCAAGCUGAAGACUUUGCCGGAUUAGCUGAGAGGAGGUGCAUGGCGUAGUCGUGUCUGAGACUG
rnacentral:rRNA from 1 species